CACUCCCACUCUAACGCUCGCCAACCGCCCAAAACUGUGGCUCCUACAGUUUUGAUGCUAGAAUAAAAAAUUGAACUGGGAAGUACUGUUCUCAUUAAUGUGUAACGAUUGACCUAAUAAAAGGAUGCCACGCCCACUUUAACGCCAACAAGCCGCCCACAAACCUUAAAAUAUCCUGAUUUAUCUUUAUUACACAAUCAUCAGCCCGAUUAUCGCCUCUUUUUAUUUCUCUUUGUCAAUGAACUGGAUGCAGUCGAAAUUUACUCCGGCACCUGAAGAAUACAAAUAAAGGAUUAUUUUAUAUUA